GACGAACGCUGGCGGCGUGCUUAACACAUGCAAGUCGAACGGAAAGGCCCUGCUUUUGUGGGGUGCUCGAGUGGCGAACGGGUGAGUAACACGUGAGUAACCUGCCCUUGACUUUGGGAUAACUUCAGGAAACUGGGGCUAAUACCGGAUAGGAGCUCCUGCUGCAUGGUGGGGGUUGGAAAGUUUCGGCGGUUGGGGAUGGACUCGCGGCUUAUCAGCUUGUUGGUGGGGUAGUGGCUUACCAAGGCUUUGACGGGUAGCCGGCCUGGGAGGGUGACCUGCCACAUUAGGACUGAGAUACGGACCAGACUCCUACGGGAGGCAGCAGGGGGGAAUAUUGCAGAAUGGGCGGAAGCCUGAUGCAGCAACGCCGCGUGCGGGAUGACGGCCUUCGGGUUGUAAACCGCUUUCGCCUGUGACGAAGCGUGAGUGACGGUAAUGGGUAAAGAAGCACCGGCUAACUACGUG
rnacentral:rRNA from 1 species